rnacentral:rRNA from 1 species
UACGUAGGGUGCGAGCGUUAAUCGGAAUUACUGGGCGUAAAGCGUGCGCAGGCGGUUUUGUAAGCCAGAUGUGAAAUCCCCGGGCUUAACCUGGGAAUGGCAUUUGGGACUGCAAGGCUUGAGUUUGGCAGAGGAGACUGGAAUUCCUGGUGUAGCAGUGAAAUGCGUAGAUAUCAGGAGGAAUACCGAUGGCGAAGGCAGGUCUCGUGGGACUAGAA